UCCAAAGUAGUGUAACUUGGUAAUACAAUCAAUGGGCAACUGUUGAUAAAUGAAGGUUCGAAUCCUUCCUUUGGAG
rnacentral:tRNA from 2 species